rnacentral:rRNA from 1 species
UACGUAGGGGGCAAGCGUUGUCCGGAUUUAUUGGGCGUAAAGAGCGUGUAGGCGGCUAGACAGGUCUGCUGUGAAAACUCGAGGCUCAACCUCGAGAUGUCGGCGGAAACCGUCCUGGCUAGAGUCCGGAAGAGGAGAGUGGAAUUCCUGGUGUAGCGGUGAAAUGCGCAGAUAUCAGGAAGAACACCUAUGGCGAAGGC